GCAGAGGGUGAGAAUCCCGUUUUGUGGUCGCUUGCCAAUGCCGUGUAAAGCCCCUUCGACGAGUCGAGUUKKUUUGGGAAUGCAGCUCUAAAUGGGAGGUAAAUUUCUUCUAAAGCUAAAUACUGGCCAGAGACCGWUAGCGCACAAGUAGAGUGAUCGAAAGAUGAAAAGCACUUUGGAAAGAGAGUCAAACAGCACGUGAAAUUGUUAAAAGGGGAAGCGCUUGCAGCCAGACUUGCCCGUAGUUGCUCACCCAGGCUUUUGCCCGGGGCAUUCUUCUGCGGGCAGGCCAGCAUCAGUUUGGGCGGUCGGAUAAAGGCCUCUAUCACGUUCUUCCUUCGGGAUGACCUUAUAGGGGAGGUGUAAUGCGACCAGCCCGGACUGAGGACCGCGCUUCGGCUAGGAUGCUGGCGUAAUGGCUGUAAGCGGCCCUCUUGAAACACGGACCAAGGAGUCUAACAUCUAUGCGAGUGUUUGGGUGUCAAGCCCGRGCGCGUAAUGAAAGUGAACGGAGGUGGGAACCCUUUGGGUGCACCAUCGACCGAUCCUGAUGUCUUCGGAUGGAUUUGAGUAAGAGCAUAGCUGUUGGGACCCGAAAGAUGGUGAACUAUGCUUGAAUAGGGUGAAGCCAGAGGAAAC
rnacentral:rRNA from 1 species